rnacentral:rRNA from 1 species
AUUGAACGCUGGCGGCAGGCCUAACACAUGCAAGUCGAGCGAGAGUCGGACGGGUGUGUAAUGUAUGGGGACUGUCCGAUAGAGGGGGAUAUCUAUUGGAAAAGGUAUCUAAUACCCCAUACUCUCGGAUUAUCCAUAUGGGAUUAGCUAGUAGGUGGGGGAAUGGCGCACCUAGGCGACGAUCCCCUGCUGGUCUGAGAGGGUGAUCAGCCACACUGGGACUGAGACAAGGGCCAGACUCCUACGGAGGGAGGAGUGGGGAAUAUUGGACAAUGGGCGGAAGCCUUAUGGAACCAUGCCGCGGGGAGGAAGGAGGCCCUAGGGGUGGAAAGGACUUUCAAUCGGGAGGCGUUACCGAGAGAAGAAGGACCGGCUAACUACGUGCCAGCAGCCGCGGUAAUUC